GACGAACCGUGCGAACGUUAUUCGGAAUCACUGGGCUUAAAGCGCGUGUAGGCGGCCCGGCACGUCCGUCGCUGAAAUCCCCCGGCUCAACCGGGGAAGGGGCGCGGAUACGACCGGGCUGGAGGGGGGUAGGGGGAUCGGGAACUUCCGGUGGAGCGGUGAAAUGCGUUGAGAUCGGAAGGAACGCCCGCGGCGAAGGCGGCGACCUGGACAGGUACUGACACUCAACUACGAAAGCGUGGGGAGCAAACAGGA
rnacentral:rRNA from 1 species